rnacentral:lncRNA from 1 species
GUUUUUUUUCUGAUUUGUACUUUUGAUUCAUGAUCUGAUUUUUCAUAAGGAAGCCUCGACAGCGUUUGUUUUCCUAUUGAAGAUCUCACAUUCAAGUCUUCACUGUCAAGAGCAAGCAGGGGAUAGAAUGUACCAAGUAACUUAGCAACCAUCCAAAUUCCAUCCACAUUCCAGGCCUGUGCUCCAGUUCUAUGGGAAACACCAUUCAAUCCAGAAAUAGACAAGAAAGAGGGUUGAAACCUUCAUGACAAUGCUAGAGAAUUAACAGUGAGAGAUGCAUUAAGCAACAACACAGUUUUGCCUUUUACAAGCUCCCUGAGGUUUUUAUUUCAGUCAGAGGACCAAGAUUUCAGUUCAAGUCACUGGAAGAAAAGAGCUGUCAUUUAUGCUCUCUACUUACAGGUAAAUUGUCUUGUGAUUAUUUCCACAGAACUCUGACUUGGAUAAGUUCCCCAGAGGGCAUGACCAAGGAUUAUAUCUUUUGUGAUGAUAUGAAUGAUACAUCUUAGCCCCUUUACUUGCUAGAUGACUUCUCUUUAUUUCACAAUCAGAUAAGAACAGAGAAGACUCAAGCUGGUUAGCAGAUUUUUUGUUUUCCUCUCAAACUACAGCUACCUAAGAUCAGAACGCUCUGAUCAUUUGUGCUGCUAUUUUAAGAUCCAGUUUCAUUCUACAACUGGCUGAAGCAUGAAGUCAACUAAAAUAAACUGAAUUGAGUGGAACUGAACUGAACUGAAGUGAAAUAAUGUGAUUUCCAGUAAACCUGACACCUUAAGGACAGAACAUGAGCCUUGCCCAUCUUCCUCCCAGAGGUCCCAGCACAAUCACCGACUCACACAAUACUCUCAGUGCAUGAGUGAUGAAUUUCACUAACAGCGACCCAUCUCUCUCUACAUAAUCCACUCCGAUUUCACCAUAGCUGUAAGCUAAUGACCAAAGCACAUAACUGAAUUCAAACAUAUUCUUUAUUGCAGUCAGAUGUGAGAAAACAAAAUUUAGAAGACAAGCCAGAAAGGAAAUGAAGAACAUAAAGAGCCUGAAUUCUC